rfam:Planctomyces sp. SH-PL62, complete genome.
GCCGGCGUGGCGGAACGGCAGACGCUGGGGACUUAAAAUCCUCUGGGCGGGAACGCCCGUGUGGGUUCGACUCCCACCGCCGGCA